rnacentral:rRNA from 1 species
CGAAUGCUGACAUAAGUAACGAUAAAGCGGGUGAAAAGCCCGCUCGCCGGAAGACCAAGGGUUCCUGUCCAACGUUAAUCGGGGCAGGGUGAGUCGACCCCUAAGGCGAGGCCGAAAGGCGUAGUCGAUGGGAAACAGGUUAAUAUUCCUGUACUUGGUGUUACUGCGAAGGGGGGACGGAGAAGGCUAUGUUGGCCGGGCGACGGUUGUCCCGGUUUAAGCGUGUAGGCUGGUUUUCCAGGCAAAUCCGGAAAAUCAAGGCUGAGGCGUGAUGACGAGGCACUACGGUGCUGAAGCAACAAAUGCCCUGCUUCCAGGAAAAGCCUCUAAGCAUCAGGUAACAUCAAAUCGUACCCCAAACCGACACAGGUGGUCAGGUAGAGAAUACCAAGGCGCUUGAGAGAACUCGGGUGAAGGAACUAGGCAAAAUGGUGCCGUAACUUCGGGAGAAGGCACGCUGAUAUGUAGGUGAAGCGACUUGCUCGUGGAGCUGAAAUCAGUCGAAGAUACCAGCUGGCUGCAACUGUUUAUUAAAAACACAGCACUGUGCAAACACGAAAGUGGACGUAUACGGUGUGACGCCUGCCCGGUGCCGGAAGGUUAAUUGAUGGGGUUAGCGGUAACGCGAAGCUCUUGAUCGAAGCCCCGGUAAACGGCGGCCGUAACUAUAACGGUCCUAAGGUAGCGAAAUUCCUUGUCGGGUAAGUUCCGACCUGCACGAAUGGCGUAAUGAUGGCCAGGCUGUCUCCACCCGAGACUCAGUGAAAUUGAACUCGCUGUGAAGAUGCAGUGUACCCGCGGCAAGACGGAAAGACCCCGUGAACCUUUACUAUAGCUUGACACUGAACAUUGAGCCUUGAUGUGUAGGAUAGGUGGGAGGCUUUGAAGUGUGGACGCCAGUCUGCAUGGAGCCGACCUUGAAAUACCACCCUUUAAUGUUUGAUGUUCUAACGUUGGCCCCUGAUCGGGGUUGCGGACAGUGUCUGGUGGGUAGUUUGACUGGGGCGGUCUCCUCCUAAAGAGUAACGGAGGAGCACGAAGGUUGGCUAAUCCUGGUCGGACAUCAGGAGGUUAGUGCAAUGGCAUAAGCCAGCUUGACUGCGAGCGUGACGGCGCGAGCAGGUGCGAAAGCAGGUCAUAGUGAUCCGGUGGUUCUGAAUGGAAGGGCCAUCGCUCAACGGAUAAAAGGUACUCCGGGGAUAACAGGCUGAUACCGCCCAAGAGUUCAUAUCGACGGCGGUGUUUGGCACCUCGAUGUCGGCUCAUCACAUCCUGGGGCUGAAGUAGGUCCCAAGGGUAUGGCUGUUCGCCAUUUAAAGUGGUACGCGAGCUGGGUUUAGAACGUCGUGAGACAGUUCGGUCCCUAUCUGCCGUGGGCGCUGGAGAACUGAGGGGGGCUGCUCCUAGUACGAGAGGACCGGAGUGGACGCAUCACUGGUGUUCGGG